CCAUAAGCAAGUUCCACUUCCUCUUUCCUCUGGUAGCGACUAUACUCUUUCCUUCACUCUCGGCUCCCCUCCUUCCCCGCCUAUUUCCCUUUACCUUGACACAGGCAGCGACGUUGUUUGGCUUCCUUGUUCUCCAUUUGAAUGCAUCCUCUGCGAAUCAAAAGCACCACCACUCUCUCCUCCACUUAACCUUUCCGCCUCAGCCACUGCUGUCCCAUGCAAAUCCUCCGCCUGCUCAGCUGCUCACUCUUCCCUCCCUUCCUCUGACCUUUGCGCCAUGGCACGUUGUCCCCUCGACGCCAUCGAAACCUCCGACUGCAACUCCUUCCCUUGCCCUCCUUUCUACUAUGCCUACGGUGACGGCAGCUUAACCGCCCUUCUCUAUAAAGACUCUUUAACUCUCCCAAACUCUCUCUCUGUUCAAAACUUUACUUUUGGUUGCGCCCACACCACCUUGG
rnacentral:lncRNA from 1 species